GGUUUGUCGCGUCUGCUGUGAAAAUCCGGGGCUCAACCCCGGACUUGCAGUGGGUACGGGCAGACUAGAGUAUGGUAGGGGAGACUGGAAUUCCUGGUGUAGCGGUGAAAUGCGCAGAUAUCAGGAGGAACACCGAUGGCGAAGGCAGGUCUCUGGGCCACUACUGACGCUGAGAAGCGAAAGCAUGGGGAGCGAACAGGAUUAGAUACCCUGGUAGUCCAUGCCGUAAACGUUGGGCGCUAGGUGUGGGACUCAUUCCACGAGUUCCGUGCCGCAGCUAACGCAUUAAGCGCCCCGCCUGGGGAGUACGGCCGCAAGGCUAAAACUCAAAGGAAUUGACGGGGGCCCGCACAAGCGGCGGAGCAUGCGGAUUAAUUCGAUGCAACGCGAAGAACCUUACCAAGGCUUGACAUAUACCGGAAACAUCCAGAGAUGGGUGCCCCUUUUGGUCGGUAUACAGGUGGUGCAUGGUUGUCGUCAGCUCGUGUCGUGAGAUGUUGGGUUAAGUCCCGCAACGAGCGCAACCCUCGUUCUAUGUUGCCAGCACGUCAUGGUGGGGACUCAUAGGAGACUGCCGGGGUCAACUCGGAGGAAGGUGGGGAUGACGUCAAAUCAUCAUGCCCCUUAUGUCUUGGGCUUCACGCAUGCUACAAUGGCCGGUACAAAGGGCUGCGAUACCGCAAGGUGGAGCGAAUCCCAAAAAACCGGUCUCAGUUCGGAUUGGGGUCUGCAACUCGACCCCAUGAAGUCGGAGUCGCUAG
rnacentral:rRNA from 1 species